GUGAAGACAAUGGGCUUCAUGGUAAGAAACCUUGUUAUUACGGUCACAACAUAUCACCAGGCAGUAUUCAAGUGAAGAAGACUUUAACAUUUGUGACAGUUCAGUGGCUCUAUUUCUGAUGAAUGAACAACAGCUCUACAUAUGCCUUUGGAAGAGAAAUGUCCAGAAGAAUCCAGAGAAAUACUACAACAUACUAUUUGGCACACCUUUGAAAGUUAAUGAAAACUUGCUGAGUGAAUCAAUGAAGAAGUCAACAAAUCACUCAGUUGUCCAGGAACCAGGAUGA
rnacentral:lncRNA from 1 species